GGCCUACCAUGGUGGUAACGGGUAACGGGGUGUUAGGGCACGACACCGGAGAGGGAGCCUGAGAAACGGCUACCACAUCCAAGGAUGGCAGCAGGCGCGCAAAUUACCCAAUCCCGACACGGGGAGGUAGUGACAAUAAAUAACAAUACGGGGUUCUUUAGGAUCUCGUAAUUGGAAUGAGUACAAUUUAAAUCUCUUAACGAGGAACAAUUGGAGGGCAAGUCUGGUGCCAGCAGCCGCGGUAAUUCCAGCUCCAAUAGCGUAUAUUAAAGUUGUUGCAGUUAAAAAGCUCGUAGUUGAAUUUCGGGGUUAGUAAGUUGGUCAUGCCUUUGGUAUGCACUGGCUUUACUGAUUCCUCCUUCUUGACGAACCGUGAUGUCAUUAAUUUGGUGUUGCGGGAAAUCAGGACUGUUACUUUGAAAAAAUUAGAGUGUUUAAAGCAGGCUAACGCUUGAAUACAUUAGCAUGGAAUAAUGAAAUAGGACGUUAAUCCUAUUUUGUUGGUUUCUAGGAUCGACGUAAUGAUUAAUAGGGAUAGUUGGGGGCAUUAGUAUUCAAUUGUCAGAGGUGAAAUUCUUGGAUUUAUUGAAGACUAACUACUGCGAAAGCAUUUGCCAAGGAUGUUUUCAUUAAUCAAGAACGAAAGUUAGGGGAUCGAAGACGAUCAGAUACCGUCGUAGUCUUAACCAUAAACUAUGCCGACUAGGGAUCGGAUGAUGUUAAUUCUUUAAUGACUCAUUCGGCGCCUUACG
rnacentral:rRNA from 1 species